UACGGAAGGGGCAAGCGUUGUUCGGAAUCAUUGGGCGUAAAGGGCGCGUAGGUGGUUCUGUAUGUCUACCGUGAAAGCGUACGGCUCAACCGUAUUUUGUCGGUGGAAACUGCAGGACUUGAGGCUGGGAGGGGCUGGUGGAAUUCCCUGUGUAGCGGUGAAAUGCGUAGAGAUGGGGGAGAACACUCGUGGCGAAGGCGGCUCUCUGGGACGGUACUGACGCUGAGACGCGAAAGCGUGGGGAGCGAACAGG
rnacentral:rRNA from 1 species